AUGCAGGCCCUUUUCAGGGCCACCAUAUAUUAAGAAUGUCUAACUU
rfam:Operophtera brumata OBRT01_Sc05886, whole genome shotgun sequence.